rnacentral:rRNA from 1 species
AGCAGCCGCGGUAAUUCCAGCUCCAAUAGCGUAUAUUAAAGUUGUUGCAGUUAAAAAGCUCGUAGUUGAAUUUCGGGGUUUAUCCGUUGGUCGGGCUUUUGGGUCUGUACUGGCGUGAUGGAUUCCUACCUUCUGAAUAACCAGCAUGUCAUUAAUUUGGUGCGUUGGGGAAGCAGGACUGUUACCUUGAAAAAUUAGAGUGCUUAAAGCAGGCUAUUGCCUGAAUACAUUAGCAUGGAAUAAUGAAAUAGGACGCAUGGUUCUAUUUUGUUGGUUUCUAGGAUCACCGUAAUGAUUAAUAGGGAUAGUUGGGGGCAUUAGUAUUCAAUUGUCAGAGGUGAAAUUCUUGGAUUUAUUGAAGACUAAACUUCUGCGAAAGCAUUUGCCAAGGAUGUUUUCAUUAAUCAAGAACGAAAGUUAGGGGAUCGAAGACGAUCAGAUACCGUCGUAGUCUUAACCAUAAACUAUGCCGACUAGGGAUCGGACGAUGUUAAUUUUUAAUGACUCAUUCGGCGCCUUA